UUUUUUCCCAAUCAAAUCCAGGCUGCGACGGCUGCUGGUAGCAUGGAAUGCAGUCCGUGUCCAUUUGAUAAUUAAUUAAUUUGCAUUGGUCAAGGAAUUAAUUAUUAACACCACACCACGUAAUUGCAUGCUCUCUUUUUUUUUUUGUUGUUGUUGUAAUUGUAUCUUGUGCUAGCUAUCUUAUCUUACCAUGCGUGCAAGGGCAAUGGAUCGGAGUAGUGAGCAAUUAUAUAUAUUUUUUAUUGGAAAAGGAUGGAUGGUGAUGGAGCAGCUUCUGCCGGGCCCAGAGCCUAUCCUGGUCCUGGAGCUUUCAUUCAUUUUUAUUCCCUGAUCUGAUGGUCUUUCCUCCGCGUGCUUGCUAUUUGCCACUACACACGUACUAGAAUCGCAUCCAGCAGGAAAAGAAAAAAAGAAUAGAGCAGAAAAGACAGCAUCCCAAUCCCGAUAUGCUCCGGUCCGAUCCAUAAAGGAAGAGGAAUGUGCACACACCAUUCUAUUAUUAUAUAGCAACAAAGAAAGAAAAGAAAGGAGCUAGCUUUUAGUUUCAGUUGCAUGCACACAUCGCACAUACACGCAUGCAUACGUAGGCCAAAGAUAAGAAAGAAUAUGCAAGUGCAUCUUGCACAGCUUUAUUCCAUUGAUAUGAUGCAUCAUGUCAUCAUACCAUACAUCUCGUAGCAAAGGGAGGGGUUGAAAAGAACUGCCUACCGGCCGUUGGUAGCACCCACCACACCACUGCACUGGUAGCAGCUACUAGUUUUUCAUUUCAUUAAUGCAAAUACAGGACAAAAAGUAGUUAAUUAUUUUUUAAUAAUAAAUAAUUAUUCUCAGAGCAGCAUGUCUGUCUUGGCGGGCAGCCUCUUGUAGAAGUUGA
rnacentral:lncRNA from 1 species